AUUGAACGCUGGCGGCAGGCCUAACACAUGCAAGUCGAGCGAGCGGCGGACGGGUGAGUAAUGUAUGGGGACUGCCCGAUAGAGGGGGAUAACUACUGGAAACGGUGGCGACUCCCGCAUACUAUCGGAUAAACACUCUGGGAUUAGCGAGUAGGUGGGGGAAAGGCUCACCGAGGCGACGAUCUCUAGCUGGUCUGAGAGGAUGAUAAGCCACACGGGGACUGAGACACGGACCAGACUCCUACGGAGGCAGCAGUGGGGAAUAUUGCAAAAUGGGCGCAAGCCUGAUGCAGCCAUGCCGCGUGUAUGAAGAAGGCCUUAGGGUUGUAAAGUACUUUCAGCGGGGAGGCGUUACCCGCAGAAGAAGCACCGGCUAACUCCGUGCCAGCAGCCGCGGUAAUAC
rnacentral:rRNA from 1 species